rnacentral:rRNA from 1 species
UACGUAGGGUGCAAGCGUUGUCCGGAAUUAUUGGGCGUAAAGAGCUCGUAGGCGGUUUGUCGCGUCUGCUGUGAAAACCCGCGGCUUAACCGCGGGCUUGCAGUUGAUACGGGCAGGCUAGAGUUCGGUAGGGGAGACUGGAAUUCCUGGUGUAGCGGUGAAAUGCGCAGAUAUCAGGAGGAACACCGGUGGCGAAGGCGGGUCUCUGGGCCAUUACUGACGCUGAGGAGCGAAAGCGUGGGGAGCGAACAGG